AUAAAUAAAAGCAUAUUCUAGAAAAUAAUAAAGAAAAUCGUAUUCUAGAAAGUAACGAAAUGAACUUAAGCCCUAAUUUAGAAACCCCUCUUCGGUCUUGCAGUUCUAAUCCCUUCCUCCUGAUGUUGCGAUGUCGAAGCUUCAGGAAGUUCAAUUCAAAAUUGCAGCCCGUUUCUCUUGGUAUGUGGAUUUGAUUUCGAGCCCGAUGCUGUUGAAAAUAGCGUUUGGGGGUAGUAACUUCCUGCUGAUAUUCAUAACGGAUCUGAAGAUCCAUCGAUUCGGGUACUUCUCCAUCAUCUAGUGCAACAUUUUCCAUGUGAUCUGCCAGCAUGUUUCCUUCUCUCAUUAUGUGUAUCGCCCUGACAGUUUUGUUGUCCAUUAAGUUACAAAUUUCCUCCACCAUUUCAAUCACUGGCUAAGGGACUUCCCAGUGGGCAUGUUAUGAUAUACCCCGGACGCCGGAUGAUGAUGAUAUGAUGAUGAUGAUACGAUGAUGCUGCUGCUAUAUGUAUAUACUUGCACAUGAUUUUUAAACUCAUGCAUUGCAUAUUGUACACUCUCAGAUGGCUCAGGUAACUUCUAUCCUUUUAUAUUUACGUCUUACUUAUGUUAUUGUUUCCUUCCUUACAUACUCAGUACUUUUAUCCAUACUGACGUCCUAUCCUACGAGAUGCUGCAUUUCGUGCUGCAGGUCCUGAUAGGCGUAGCAGAGGACCUCUACAACAGUAAGACUUCCAGUUUCAGCGGUGUCAGCAAGUUCCACUACUCCGGACUUGCUAUCUUUUGGUAUACUUAUGUUAUCAUGAUAUAUGUUCAUAUGCUAUGGGAACAUCGAGGCCCUGUCCCGACUAUUAUGCUUUUGGUAUCCUUGUUCUUAGAGGCUCAUAGACAUUUUGGGUAUAUAUAAUGUUAUGUACGACCUCAUCGGCCUUGCUUUGGUUUUUGAUAUUCUCCUGAUAGCCUUGCCGGCUUUAUGACAUUUAUGAUAUUGUUGUGGCAUUA